UACGUAGGUGGCAAGCGUUGUCCGGAUUUAUUGGGUUUAAAGGGUGCGUAGGCGGUCUUAUAAGUCAGUGCUGAAAUAUCCCGGCUUAACCGGGAGGGUGGCAUUGAUACUGUAGGACUUGAGUAAAGUUGAGGUUGGCGGAAUUGACGGUGUAGCGGUGAAAUGCUUAGAUAUCGUCAAGAACACCGAUAGUGUAGACAGCUAAC
rnacentral:rRNA from 1 species